UACAGAGGAUGCAAACGUUGCUCGGAAUUACUGGGCGUAAAGCGCGCGCAGGUGGCCACAUAAGUCGGGUGUGAAAGCCCGGGGCUCAACCCCGGAAGUGCACUCGAUACUGCGUGGCUAGAGUACUGGAGAGGAGAGCGGAAUACUCGGUGUAGAGGUGAAAUUCGUAGAUAUCGGGUGGAACACCAGUGGCGAAGGCGGCUCUCUGGACGGAUACUGACACUGAGGCGCGAAAGCGUGGGAAGCAAACAGG
rnacentral:rRNA from 1 species